AUGGAAGAUAAGACACCUAAUCAAGAAAACAUCAGCAGUGGCUUGCUGGGCUACAUGUAGGCCAAUCCUUAUCAUACUGCAUCAUGGGAAAAGCUCCUUUAUUAGCAAGAACUCCAAUCUCACAGAUAUAAAGACAAGGAGCAGACAUGCUACAGCUUCUACCUGCUUAUUUAAAGCACUUGGAGUUCUUGAACGAAGAUAAAGCAAGGAAUUCUGAGAGUACUUCACCUUGUUGUAAAAAGUUUCCUAACAAAAGAUCUUCUUGAAGACCAGAUGCAGAGCUGACUACACCAGAAAAGGAAGAGAUGUGAAAACUUAAGAAAAAUCAUGUAUGAAUUAUCAUUUAAUUGAAUAAAGGCUUAAUCAUUGAUAGUAAAAAAGAAUAAAAUUUUUCUUCCUCAGAAUCAUAUAAAUCAAUUUCCUAAGAACACACCACAUUCUCUUAAAGCUUGAUGGAAUGGACAAUAAAAGCACAGACAUGGCCAUAACCUACUGCCGGAGAAAAAAACAAAUACAAAUGAGUAAAACAGCCAAAUGGGAGAGAUCACGUUAUAAAAUUACAAAUAAAUUGAAAUCAUAAACUUGA